rnacentral:rRNA from 1 species
CCUACGGGAGGCAGCAGUAGGGAAUAUUGCUCAAUGGGGGAAACCCUGAAGCAGCAACGCCGCGUGGAGGAUGAAGGUUUUCGGAUUGUAAACUCCUUUUGUUAGAGAAGAUAGUGACGGUAUCUAACGAAUAAGCACCGGCUAACUCCGUGCCAGCAGCCGCGGUAAUACGGAGGGUGCAAGCGUUACUCGGAAUCACUGGGCGUAAAGAGCGCGGAGGCGGGAUAGCAAGUCAGAUGUGAAAUCCUAUGGCUUAACCAUAGAACUGCAUUUGAAACUGGUAUUCUAGAGUAUGGGAGAGGUAGGUGGAAUUCUUGGUGUAGGGGUAAAAUGCGUAGAGAUCAGGAGGAAUACUCGUGGCGAAGGCGACCUGCUAGAACAUAACUGACGCUGAGGCGCGAAAGCGUGGGGAGCAAACAGGAUUAGAUACCCCUGUAGUC